rnacentral:rRNA from 1 species
UACGUAGGGGGCGAGCGUUAUCCGGAAUCACUGGGCGUAAAGGGUGCGUAGGCGGCCGAUAAAGUCAGGGGUGAAAGGCUACGGCUUAACCGUAGUAAGCCUUUGAAACUUAUUGGCUUGAGUGCAGGAGAGGAGAGUGGAAUUCCUAGUGUAGCGGUGAAAUGCGUAGAUAUUAGGAGGAACACCAGUGGCGAAGGCGACUCUCUGGACUGUAACUGACGCUGAGGCACGAAAGCGCGGGGAGCGAACAGG